rnacentral:rRNA from 1 species
UUCCGGUUGAUCCUGCCGGACCUGACUGCUAUCGGAUUGAUACUAAGCCAUGCGGGUCAUUGUAGCAAUACAAGGCAGACGGCUCAGUAACGCGUAGUCAACCUAACCUAUGGACGGGAAUAACCUCGGGAAACUGAGAAUAAUGCCCGAUAGAACACUAUGCCUGGAAUGGUUUGUGUUCCAAAUGGUUUAUCGCCGUAGGAUGGGACUGCGGCCUAUCAGUUUGUUGGUGAGGUAAUGGCCCACCAAGACUAUUACAGGUACGGGCUCUGAGAGGAGUAGCCCGGAGAUGGGUACUGAGACACGGACCCAGGCCCUAUGGGGCGCAGCAGGCGAGAAAACUUUGCAAUGUGCGAAAGCACGACAAGGUUAAUCCGAGUGGUUUGUGCUAAACAGACCUUUUGUUAGUCCUAGAAACACUAACGAAUAAGGGGUGGGCAAGUUCUGGUGUCAGCCGCCGCGGUAAAACCAGCACCUCAAGUGGUCAGGAUGAUUAUUGGGCCUAAAGCAUCCGUAGCCGGCUCUGUAAGUUUUCGGUUAAAUCUGUAUGCUCAACAUACAGGCUGCCGGGAAUACUGCAGAGCUAGGGAGUGGGAGAGGUAGACGGUACUCGGUAGGAAGGGGUAAAAUCCUUUGAUCUAUUGAUGACCACCUGUGGCGAAGGCGGUCCACCAGAACACGUCCGACGGUGAGGGAUGAAAGCUGGGGGAGCAAACCGGAUUAGAUACCCGGGUAGUCCCAGCUGUAAACUAUGCAAACUCAGUGAUGCAUUGGCUUGUGGCCAAUGCAGUGCUGCAGGGAAGCCGUUAAGUUUGCCGCCUGGGAAGUACGUACGCAAGUAUGAAACUUAAAGGAAUUGGCGGGGGAGCACCACAAGGGGUGAAGCCUGCGGUUCAAUUGGAGUCAACGCCGGAA